rnacentral:lncRNA from 1 species
AUCAGAAGAGGAGCCAGUGGAUCAGAUGAGAAAUGGCUUCUUAAACCAAGUCCAAGAACUGUGAAAGAAACUUGUGCAGCCGAGCUGCUAAAGAAAUGUGAAGGUGUCUCUAAUGGAACUUGUUAGACUGGAUUGUCAAUCAAAAGCCAAAUCUUUGGUGUUUGUGAGGAAAAAAAAUGCCCAGCAGCCGUCCUGCAGCACAUCAGUGCUUUGUCUGACUGCGGUGUGAAGGUGUUGCUCGGGACCAGGGACACUUGGACUGGUUGUUUGUUUAUUUCCAGGAAGUUUGAAGGUCGGCAUUACUUGGUAGAUGGUGGAUGAGGGCCCCAGAGCAGAGCAGCACCAUGAGUUUUGUCCCCGAGCAGUUUGCACCAGGGCUGCAGUUGCUUCUGUUGCAAUCCCUACUGGAGCAGCUGUCCCUUCCUGAAGGGGGAGGAAGAACUCUGGUAUUCUCUCCACAUCAGAAGAUCACCCCUGCAUUCCCAAGUGUUGUCCUCCACCACCCAGUAUCUGAGGGAUCACAUCAGCAAUUCCCAACCAGCCCAUAGCAAUGUGGUACAGAGGGGCUUUAUUUUCAUCACCUGUGACUUCGGGCUGAAGCUCCCCAGGAAGGAUUGUUUAGAGAGGAGCAGCACCUUGAAGGAACAUCCAGACACAGCCCUCCUGCUUCCUGACCUCAGCACAGGGAUGCUGAUCUCUGCAAUGCCCUGUCCUUGUCCCCAGGCUCCUCCAGCCCGUUCUUCCAGCCCAGUCCCUCUCACUGGCAGCUCAGCAGUGGUGAGGAUUAAAAAUCAAAAGCAUCCUGCAACAACUACUCCUCUACCUAGGAAAGCACCAAGUCACUCCUGGUUCUACCGCUGUGAUGAGCAAAGGAAACCUUGAGGGAUAGGUUGGGACUUGUUACACUUAGCACUGCUCCCUUCCUCUUUUAGCUAGUAGGCAAUUAUCAGAUCCGAUCAACAGAAACAGACCUUUCCCAGAGCACAGCUCUUGUGCAGUGUUCUGCAGGUUUGGCCAACUGCACGCCUUCGGUGCUUCAGAUCCACCUCACGGUGUUCAGUGUGGCACUCGUGAAUCUUCACUGGGCCCUUCACUGUCCAGGAGGGGACAAUGGGCUGAGCUCUUCCAUCGAGCCUGCAGUCCCCAUUACAUCGCUUUCACUCCCAGCAGCUAUUCAGUUCCUGAGUUCUAUAGUUCCUGCAUUUACUGCCUCCCAUGCAUGGGCUGUUCUCCCUCUCUGAUGCAUAGAAAUGUUGAGCUAAACUAUGAGUUGGCAGCUUGGAAGCUUUUCUUCCAGGUACAAUCUCUGCUUCCUAAGCAGGUUUUUGAGGAUGUGUCUAUUGCAG